rnacentral:rRNA from 1 species
CCGCCUUAUUCGGCCUACAAGGAACGUGCUUUCUCUAACCACCGCAAAAUGAAGGCAGAAAUCUGCGAUACAUCAUUAAGAUCCAAAACGGGUACCGCUACGGCAAGUGGAAUAUCACUGGCAACCGCAAUAACAUGCUCAUCAAGAAUUAAUUCUUCCUCGCUGUGCCCACAUCCCUGACGAAAAAGUAAGAUCUUCGCAACUGCCUCGUGUUUAAACCCUUCUACCAGCACCAUAUCUAGCUUUGAUGCAUCCAUCCGGCUCACCAGCCAUGCCAGAUCCAACUCUUCUUGCCCCGGCGUUUCAGUCAUUAACGCCCAGCGCUGCUGACUGGCAACCAGCGUCUGUGCCGCCCCGGCUUUACGUAAUUCGUAGCUAUCUUUACCCGGUUUAUCAACAUCCAUAUCAUGAUGGGUAUGCUUAAUCAGCCCUGGCCGAAUACCGUGCGCACAAAGUGCUGGGAUCAGUUUUUUCAGCAGUGUUGUUUUUCCCGUGCCGCUCCACGCGGCAAUGGCGAGUAGCGGUAUCAUGGUCUCUUUUGCCAUUGCGCGAGUUCCUCCGGCGUGUUGACGUUCACAAAUGCCUCCUUACAAUCGCUGAAAUCAACGGCGUGUCCGCCUACCUGGCGCAUAAAAAUCAUUACCCGCCGCUCGCCUGCUUGCAAAUAAGCUGUCAACUGGGGCUCAACGGCACGAUUAAUCAACGCGAUCGUUGGAUGAUCGCGCUCUCCAUCAUGAACCCAAACCACGGGUGCACCAUGACGCUGCGCUGCUAAACGAUCGACCAGGUUGUGGGGGAUACAGGGAUUGUCACAGGGACAAAACAGAAACCAGUCGCCUGCUACCUGCUGAAAAACGGAAAGCAUACCCGCCAGCGGACCGGGAAAGUCAGCAAUUGAAUCCGGAAUGACUUUCAGGCCGCUGGCCUGGUAGAUAUCCAGAUGGCGAUUAGCACUAAUGACGACCGUAGCAAGUUGUGGCGCGAGCGCGUCGGCAACGUGUCGCCAGAGCGGUUUCCCGCCCAGUUCAAGCAGACCUUUAUCCGCACCUCCCAUCCGCCGGGCUUUACCGCCUGCCAGCACCACGCCGGUUAUUACUUCAUCCAGAUUCACCGAUAUCGCCUCU